GGGGAUUUAGCUCAGUGGUAGAGCGCUUGCCUAGCAAGCACAAGACCCUGGGUUCAGUCCCCA
rfam:Rattus norvegicus chromosome 15, whole genome shotgun sequence.